ensembl:lncRNA
GAUGUGCCCAGAACUGGGAAUCUUCCCAGAGACUGGACUGCAGACUGUGUAAGGGAUUCAUGGUAGCUCAGCUGCUCAGAUAGACAUGAACCAUUGAGCAAGGGUGCAAGGGUUGAGGCAAGGCCUUAGACUUUAACCUGCCGUCAGUACAGACAUGGGAGGGUGGAAGCAGGUGCAGGUGCAAUGGGUGGGGCUAGACUUGGUGGGAGGAGCCUGGGGCCUGAGGUAAUAGAGACCUGGGAAUGAAAAGGGAAAAUAAGAUGCUUGAAAAUAAGCAUGCAUGAACGUAAGACACUAUGAAAAUAAGAUAAGGGGGUGGAAACCAUUACCCAGCACUGAAUUUAAAAAAUGUCUGUGGUCCGUGCUUUACCCCAAAUUGUCGUUCAGUAAAUCCUGUUUGGAUCUUGAGGAAAAAGGUAAAACAUGUUGCUCCUUUAAAAAAAAAUUCUAGGGAGUUCCCUGGUAGCCUAGUGGGUGAAGGACCCAGCAUCGUCACUGCUGUGGUGCAGAUUUGAUCCCCAGCCUGGGAACUUCCACAUGCCUUGGGUGCAGGCGAAUAAAUAAAUAAGUAAAUAUUAAAAAGGUUCUAGUAGGAAGCAGCUUUAAAACUGCUUCUGGAAGAAUAAAGGUCACAGGGGAAAGUGAGUGGAGCAGGAGUAAUUGAAAGAGGGACAAAGUACUGGUGUCUUUUGAAAGAACACACCAUAGUUGAUGCUUAAUGUGACAAGAACAAUCUUGUCGCUGUUUCAUUGCCUUGUCAGUAUUGGAAAAUACUUUCUAUAGCUUCCCAUAGAGAGUUGAAAAAUAGCCUAACAAUGAUGCAGUUAGCCAAGUGUUAUCAUUUUUAAUUGAAAAACUUAUAUGAAAGGUAGAAAAUUAAAUCUGGAAGAGAACUUAGAUCGUUUCAUCCUUUUACAGAAGGGGAAGCAGGACCAGAGAGGAACCCCUCACCGACAGCCACCAGCUGCGUAUGCCAGGCCCGUUGCCCAAGGCUCAGCCUGCCCAUCUGCUGUAGAAACCACUCAUCUCAGAAGGAGAGGCAUUUGGAUUGAUGUGGUGGAAGAGAGACAAGGAACACAGUCUUCCAAGCUCCUCAAGUGUUUAAGAGGAGAAAAGCUGGAACCGAAGGCAUCAGAAAGGUCCCAUGGAAAAUGAACACAGUGAGUCUUGAGGAAGGCGUAGGCUUAGGAUAGAAGAAGAGAAGGGUAUUCCUGGCUAGUAGGUACAUCUUACCCUAAGAUAUAAAUCAGGAGAGCCUAAAUGGAAGUUGGGGGCUAAUAUAAAACUGGUUGUAUAAAAUUGGAUCCUGAUCAAGGAAGUCUGUGCGUGCUCUCUGAUAAAUUUUGAGUGCAAUCCUGUGUGUCAUGGAGGACAGGGUUACGUGGUGAAGUAGCAUGACCUUGGUGGUCAGAAAGACCUGGGCGCGCAUCUCAGUUCCACAGUUGCUGGCUUUGUGAACUUGGGCAGAUUGCGUCCACUCUCUGACCCUGGUCCUAUGACACGGAGAUGACAGUGCCUCUUCCAGGGCUCUUGCUAGGAGAUCAUGUCCGGGAAAGGUAAGAACUGGCACAUCAUGAACUUCUCUCCUCCCUUUCCUGGUGGUAUUGAAGAAGGGAGCAAUUGUCUCUGAGCCCCCAGUGGACACAGAUGUGUCACAGGGUGAAAUGAUUGAGGAGGUGGCAAAAGAAAAUCCGUUUGAAACAGACAAAGGUGGAAAGGUGCCAAGUUGUAUUUGUGUGUUUGUCGGGGCAAUCUGGGGGGAGACGAGUUGCUGAAAGAGGCAGUGGGGAAGACAGGAAAGAGAAGAAAGGAACUAAGGGACAAAGUAAGAGAACACUAAAAAUUUCCUUUGCAUUUCUGACUCAGGGUGAGCCAUGUGGAAGACAGAGCAAGUGGCUCAGAAUGACCUAUCAGGCAUUAAAACUAGAUGAUUUAAACUAUGGUGAGACAUAGAGUUCCCGUCGUGGCUCAGCAGAAAUAAAUCUGAUUAGUAUCCAUGAGGAUGCGGGUUC